AGUGAACGCUGGCGGCAGGCCUAACACAUGCAAGUCGAACGGCAGCACAGAGGAGCUUGCUCCUUGGGUGGCGAGUGGCGGACGGGUGAGGAAUGCAUCGGAAUCUGCCCAAUCGUGGGGGAUAACCUCGGGAAACCGGGACUAAUACCGCAUACGACCUUCGGGUGAAAGCAGGGGAUCGCAAGACCUUGCGCGAUUGGAUGAGCCGAUGCCGGAUUAGCUAGUUGGCGGGGUAAAGGCCCACCAAGGCGACGAUCCGUAGCUGGUCUGAGAGGAUGAUCAGCCACACUGGAACUGAGACACGGUCCAGACUCCUACGGGAGGCAGCAGUGGGGAAUAUUGGACAAUGGGCGCAAGCCUGAUCCAGCCAUGCCGCGUGGGUGAAGAAGGCCUUCGGGUUGUAAAGCCCUUUUGUUGGGAAAGAAAAGCGGCCGGUUAAUACCCGGUUGUUCUGACGGUACCCAAAGAAUAAGCACCGGCUAACUUCGUGCCAGCCGCCGCCGUAAGAC
rnacentral:rRNA from 1 species